rnacentral:rRNA from 1 species
CCUACGGGAGGCAGCAGUGAGGAAUAUUGGUCAAUGGACGAGAGUCUGAACCAGCCAAGUAGCGUGAAGGAUGACUGCCCUAUGGGUUGUAAACUUCUUUUAUAUGGGAAUAAAAUGUUCCACGUGUGGGAUUUUGUAUGUACCAUAUGAAUAAGGAUCGGCUAACUCCGUGCCAGCAGCCGCGGUAAUACGGAGGAUCCGAGCAUUAUCCGGAUUUAUUGGGUUUAAAGGGAGCGUAGGUGGAUUGUUAAGUCAGUUGUGAAAGUUUGCGGCUCAACCGUAAAAUUGCAGUUGAAACUGGCAGUCUUGAGUACAGUAGAGGUGGGCGGAAUUCGUGGUGUAGCGGUGAAAUGCUUAGAUAUCACGAAGAACUCCGAUUGCGAAGGCAGUUCACUGGACUGCAACUGACACUGAGGCUCGAAAGUGUGGGUAUCAAACAGGAUUAGAUACCCGAGUAGUC